rnacentral:misc_RNA from 1 species
GAACCAUUUAAGACAGCACAAUCUUGCCAACUCCCAAGUGAAUUGCCGUAACAAUUGUCAUGAUUACCAUUACAGGCAUUAGAAUCAGGAAGUUCUGGAGUCAAAACUACGAAAUUCUCUUGUUGCUUCAGUUGUUCUGCAUCACCAACAGCUUCACGUCGUCCGAGUGAUCGGAUACGAUGGGAAAGCGUAUGUGUACAGCUGCUGCAGAAGUCACGGGAGAGAAAGGGGAACCAGUUAGAUAGAAAUUCACCGGCGAUCCGUAGUUCAUCGGCGUUGUAAUCGAGGAGGAAACGAUCGGUCGUGCUGCUUCGAUUAC